GAUAUGGCUGUCCAAGACCCCGGAGACGAAGGUCCGCCCAUGAGGCGGCGGCUCGAGGUGCAAGGGAGUCCGGCAAGAAGUGUGGCGGCCCAGGGUGCUUCCCGGUCUUUUAGGAUCACGGAGCUCGCCAGAUUGAGUUGCCCAGGAUGGAAGACCAUUGUCAGCAGGGAACCCGUCACAUAUUCCAUGAAUCCCAGCCUGGUGAGACAAGGAGCAUGAGCCCCCUGGGGCCAUUGGGCAUGCAGCCCUUGGGCGUACAGAUGGAAUACCCAUGGAGGAUAUGCAAAAUCCCAGGGCCCAAGGCUUGGCUGCAGUUCCUGCCCCAUGGCUGCAAUCUGUGCAGUCCCAAAUGCUGACCUGAUUGAGCUCACUGGCCUUCCUGGGAUAGAGGUGGCGACUGCUCAUGCAGCUCCUGGGCACACGUGCUUGGAUCGAUGAUGACUCUUACAAAUGCAUUCCUUGGAAAUCUGAACAAAAUGAGUGAGCCCUCCCUACCGUCUCCUCAUCGGAACUGAGGUCCAGCAUGUGAUUUCCAGUAGGAUCGAAGGGCCAGGGUCACAUUGUAUUUGCUCCUUGGGGCAUCAGCAGCCACAGUAUGCAAGCUGAGGGUGACGGCCUUGUGGUACAGAGCCAGGUUGAGUGGCCCGAGAUGGAAGACUGUUGGCAACAGGUUACCUGUUGUGUAUUCCAUGACACCCAGCCUCUCGAGAUGAGUCUCACGAAUCCCCAGAGGCAACUGGACAAGUGGCCCUUGAGUGUACAGAUAGAACAACCAUGGCGCCAGUGGCCUUGAGUGACCUGGGAUGGAAGACUAUUUGCAACAGAGAACCCAUCACAUAUUCCAUGACAACUGUCCUGGCAAGACGAGGCAUGCGAGCCCCCAGGGACUUCUGGGCAGUUGGCCCUUUGAUGUACAGGUGGAUCACCUAUGGCGCCAGAUUGAGUGGCCCAGGAUGGAAGACCGUUGGCACCAGGGGACCCAUUACAUAUUCCAUGACUCCCAGCCUGGAAAGUUGAGGCCUACGAGCCACCACAGGCCACUGGACACACGGCCCGUGGUGGUCCAGGUGGAACACCAAUGGCUACUGGAAGUGAUGUUAGAGAGAAGGGAUAUUUUGCUGCUUGGAAGUCCACUGCCACCCCAAAUAAGUGCUGUUUUCGUCACUUGUAUGAGCUCCUUUCUCUGGGAAAAUUCACAGCAAUGCUUUCUAGAGACUGACAUGUUCCAAAAACUAGGUUUCAUAUGGAUGAGCUUAUUCCUUCCCCUUGAGAUGAGACAUAAAGAAGAGUGUUGGGAAUAAUUCUGCCUCCAUCCUCAAAGGCCUGUGUGAAUUCUCACAAAGAAGAUGACUUCCUGGGAUGAAUGAUACCAGUAAACGCCUGAAGGAAGACUCUUCAGACAGAGCCCUUUUGCCUCCCCCUUGUCUGAGGGCUGCCCUCUGAAGGUGAUGACCACAGAGACAAGGUGGAUUUGUUACUGUAGGUGCCAUUACUUCUGCCACCAGCUUCUCCAAUACAGUGACACAGUCUUCUUUGUGCUUGGAAACUCUUCUCUUUCCUAUGUUGCAGUGGAUACCUCCUGCAGAUAAGAAAUGGUUAACUGAGAAAUGCUCAUGUUGGGAUAUCAUCGAUGAGACUUUAAUUUGGGCAUGGUGACUGUUUCCCUUGCUUCCACUUGACUCAAUCCCAGGAGCCUCAGUAGAGGAAAUUAUAUUGCAUAAGAAACUCAAAGUGAUGGAAUUGCUCAGUACUCCCAUAAAUAUACAUUUAUAAUUUUCAUUUGCCAUGUAGUAAAUUUAAAAAAUAAGAUCUAUUAAUUUUUUUUUCAAAAAUUUUCAAAGCAUAUUUAAAUAUCUAAUAUAUAAAUUAAGUGCCCUUUUCUCUCCUAAUCCUAUCUCCAAGUUUUCCUCUAUUAAGGGAGUUGUGUGCAUUCUUUAAGCAGAUAGAUGCGCACACACAGACACAAGCUAUUUUAGGGGGUUCUGGAAGUAGAGCUAUAUUGUACACAUUAUUCUGCAAAUUUGCUUUCAUUUAACAGUUUUUUCAAUGCCCUUUUUUUCUGUUUCAGUAAUACAUAUCUGUGUCAUCUGUUGAAUGACUGCAUGAUUGUUUUGUACAUGAAAUAUAAUUAAAUGUUUCAAACAUUUCUUAUUCAUAGAUAUUUAUGUUAGUACCAAAUUUCUGUGCAAUGAACCUCCCUAUAUAUCAAUAAUUUGCAUUUGUCUAUUAUAUCAUAAUAAAUAACUUAACAGUUAAAAUACUGGGAUUAAGUAUAUGCAUAUUUCAAAUUUUGAAAAUGACCACAAGAUUUCCUUAAAUACAUGGUAACAACUUGAUCCUCAAAUGACAAUGAAUGAGAUUGCCAACUUUCCCACAAUCUCACAGAUAAUGAAUUUUAUGAAUAUUUGAAAUCUUUGCCAGUGUGAUAGCCCAAACUAUUGUCUUAAAUUGUACUUCUUUUGUUUUUUAGUUUGAUCAUUUUUUCAUAUGUUUAUUAGCCAUCUGUAUUUUUUGUUUUCUUUUUAUGUCCAAUUUUGGGGCUGUGGGGAGGUUUUAGUCCUUCGCUGAUUUCAAAGAGCUCAUUUCUUAUUGGGGGAAUAAGCUUUGGAUUGUCACGCAUUGCAGACACUUUUUACACACUUUUAAGCUUCAUUUUUGUUAUAAGAAUGUAUUUGAUUGUUACAUGUCCAGGUAUAACCAUGUUCGCUUCUAUGGCUUCUGAGUUCAUGUCAUUUUGGAAAGAUAUUUAUACUGAUCCCAUAGAACUCUUCACCUAUGUUAACUUCUAAUUCCUUUGUGUUUUUUUAAUUCAAGUUCUUAAAUCACAGAAACUUUUUAUUUGGAAUCUUGCAGUUGCCAAGUUAUCUGUCAUUACCUGCGAUUAUUUGCCAAUAAUUGCCCAUUUGUCUGUACUGCCAUCUUGCACAUGUGCUAUAGUCUCAUCUGUGACGGGCGCCAUUUCUGUUCUGUGGGUCUGUGUGUCUCUUCUUCUGCCUCCUGUCUCGUGUCUUCUCGUUAGAAGAAAUUACAGUUUAGACUGCAAUUUCAUCAACUUUUAAUAAAUUAAUUUA